UACGAAGGGGGGCUAGCGUUGUUCGGAAUUACUGGGCGUAAAGCGCGCGCAGGCGGUCUUCCAAGUCAGUGGUGAAAGCCCGGAGCUCAACUCCGGAAUUGCCAUUGAAACUGUUUGGCUCGAGUAGCGAGAGAGGUGAGUGGAAUUCCCAGUGUAGAGGUGAAAUUCGUAGAUAUUGGGAAGAACACCGGUGGCGAAGGCGGCGACCUGUCGAUCUGACGUCUGAGCGCGAAGCGUGGGAGCGAACAGG
rnacentral:rRNA from 1 species